AAUCGUGUGGCUGGUUUGUGUGACCAGGUGGUUCAUCACACCUGCCUGUCCAGUACCCACAGCAGUGUUUCAUACCGAUGCUGGCUUUCGUGUGCCCUCGGGCCUGUCACUGCACUCAGGGGAAUGAGGUGUAAGCUUUACCUUCCUAAAGGGUGAGUAUAGCAACUCUUAGCAGCUUGUAUGUGUGUGUGAGGCUGAAUGAGCGUACAGACCUGAAAGAGUAUGAAGUGGAAAUAUGAGAGGAAUGCAAACCCAGCAGCUGUCUGAGCUGGAGCCAGCUGUGCCAUGCCACUGGGCAGAGAUGAAGGGAACAGUCUCCCACCUCUCACUGCAUCCUCUGGGCAAGGAUGCUGACCGCAUUGUGCUAGGGCUCCAGGCACCUUCCACCUUCCCUGUGACAUCCAUGCAGGAUUAUUAAUUCUGUUGGGUAAAGGCUGCCACUUACUAACAGCAGCUGUUCGCACGCUCAUGCAAUUAGCAGCUCUUCUGUGUUUCAGGAAGACAGUGCAUUUGAACAUUUUGAGGUGGGAUUCAUCUCAUCUAAUUUUAAGCACCCAAAAGAAGGGCUUUCCAUCAAAGCCAUCUGGCAAAACUGUCUUCACAGAGAGAGCCAGGCAAUUCCCCACGGUGAUUCACUUCACCUACCUCAGGCACUAUUCUUAGGAUGUGGUGAAUCACACUCUGGAGUCACUCCAUUGACUGGAGAGGGAGACCGCGCAAAUGGUUUUUGCUAGACACGCAACUUUAAGGUGGCUAAAGUUAGAUGAACUGUCUCUUCCCUGCUGAUGGGCAGUUUCCUUUUAAUCUUUCCAGUACCAGUGGUGAUAUCUUCUGCUCUUAGUCAUAAUGAUAAGGGGCAAUUAAUUUGGGGCUGGAAGUUCAGUUGGUUUAUAGAAUUCCGGUCUUUCAUAAUAAUUGUAAAGGUGGCAAACAAGUUCAAAAAGAUGCUGGGCCAUAUCUUCCUUGGAGCUGUAAUGCUGGACUCCAUGCAGAGCAAUGUGGAUAAGCAAUGCCAGGAUACUGUCAGCUGCUUUGUCUGCUCCAGGGCAAAACCUUGCACUGCCUCAGGCCUGGCUUACUGGUACCUUCCAAUGGCCUGUUAUGAGAAAGUCACAGACCUGUCUUUUGGGGAAUAAUUUGGUCUCUCACUAGCCAUGUGGUCAGCUGAGAAGACAUGGAUGAAGAAGAUGCUGCUGUUUUGUCCAAGUGAGAUCAGUUUGUUAGUCACACCUGUAUUUCCUUUCUUACCCAGAGGAAACUUAGGGACCUUGACUUUCUUUCCUUUCAGCUGAUCCCUGGCCAAGAACACAGGGUCAGAUACUGUGACAGUAAAACUAAGAUAGAAAAGACUUCAGUCAAAUUACCUCCCGGUCACACUGAGCUCUACCACAGAACAAGAGAGCUUUGUGAAAUUCCCUAUGCAUCUACUACACGGAAAAUUCAAGAAGGUGGCAGGCCCUACGAUAUUUUUUGGUACAGGAGUAUAUGCAUAACUAGCCCAGUUAAACCAAACCUUUCAGUGGAGAAUGCUUUACUCAGAAGGGCUUGCAGACUGCAUGGGGAUUUUCCCUGUCCAGUGAAAUGGAAGAUCUGGCCUUGCAUAGCCUCAGUGGCUAGAGCAGAUGCAGUGACAAGUCAAAGGCAAGAACAACAUUUUGGGGAGAAGCUUCAGGAGACUUGAGAUGAGAGAAAGCUGUUAUGCAAACAGCUGUUGCUCUACUGAUAACAGGCAAUGUAAACAAGAAAGCCAUGGACUGUCAAGCAACCCAUGAGCACCAGGAGUCCUCAGGAUAUGCUGGCUGUGGAAAUUCACAUCUCAGUCUAUUGCCAUAUCAAACCUGAAUCUGUGAGAAAGUCCCUGACCCAAAGAAGAUAAGUUCAUAAAUUGGAUUUCAUGACUGAUCUAAUACAAUUUUUGGGAAAAAAAAUCCAUUCAGAAUUCCAAUUCCACAAGAAGAUGUGAGACCCACUUUCAGACUCUGGGGUGUACAGUACCAUAGCUACACAUACUAAAAUUACAUUAAGUGUUUAUCAAUAUAAACAAAUAAGGGGAUAUUCUUACUGUGUUCUUGUGACCUUUUGCUUCAAAGGUCUGUAGAGCAUAAGACACCAGACAGCCUGCUUAAUCUGAAAGUCCAGGGAGAACCAACACUUCCUCAUGAACAGUUUGGAGAUUUUUAAAGGCCUCUCUCAGAUGUUCAGCAGAAUGCUGUGGAGCAAAGCUUGAAGCAAUCCCAUGCAGCCUGAGAAGUGUGACACACAGAGGGGCAAAAGAGAAAGAACCCAGCAAAAUCUGCAUUUGUCCUGCCUACCAUGUGAGCAGCAGCCAUAAGACGGAACCUAGACCAGCCUCAAAAUCAUGACAUGGAAAUUCCAUGAACCCCAAGAAAUUAAAUGGCUCCUUCUCGUGUGCUUUUCCUCUCUUGUUCUUUGUUCAGUACUAGGAAACUUUUGUCAGGAAAAUAAACUAAUAAAAACCUCAUUGCUUGUUCUUCUACUCCAUUAAAGUACUAGUUUUCCACCUCCAAAGCCGGACCUCAGGGCUUUUUUGGUUCUGACCCUCGGUCUUCAACUGUAAUUCCUGUAGCAAAUUUCAGACAUUAGAACGAGCCACAUUAUUCAAUUGAUGGGCUUUGUCACCCAUUUUCCCAAACAGCUUUUACAGUAACUGGUUUUACUUGCAUAGUAAAAAUCUAAAAUAAAAGGUUGCAUUUAUAGCUCAUUGCAUCACCAACCACAGCAGCAGGCCCCAUUAACAACUACCUAGCUCAGAGAGAGCUGCAGCCCCGAAUGCAAAUCAGUUAAAUGAGAAGGACUGGAACCUAAUAGUAGAUAGAAUUAUUUGACAUUGUUGAGGUCACAAUUGCCUGUCUGUUUCUGAAAGACACUGCUAUCAAAUUUGAAAGAUGUAAAAGGUCAAGUGUAUAAUUUUAGGAAAUACAAGGUUAAGGGGAGAACAAGAGCAGGUGAUUUAGCUGAGUCCUCCUUAGGUUAUGAUUUUCAUAAUUAUGCUACUAUAAACUCACAGAACAGAUGAGAAAGAACAAUACCUGUUUGUUUCCCUGUUACAUCUGCCUCCCUCUACUGCAUAAACUCCGCAGGCUGUAAUUCAGCUUCAAGUAAGGGAAAUUGGCAUGCUUCUGG